CCUAUGGGAGGCAGCAGUAGGGAAUAUUGGACAAUGGGCGCAAGCCUGAUCCAGCCAUCCCGCGUGCAGGAUGAAGGUCCUAUGGAUUGUAAACUGCUUUUAUCAGGGAAGAAACCUUGGGAUUCAUCCCAAGUUGACGGUACCUGAGGAAUAAGCACCGGCUAACUCCGUGCCAGCAGCCGCGGUAAUACGGAGGGUGCAAGCGUUAUCCGGAUUUACUGGGUUUAAAGGGUGCGUAGGUGGUCUUGUAAGUCAGCGGUGAAAGCUCGGAGCUCAACUCCGAAAUUGCCAUUGAUACUGCAAGGCUUGAGUACAGUUGAGGUAGGCGGAAUAUGUCAUGUAGCGGUGAAAUGCUUAGAUAUGACAUAGAACACCAAUUGCGAAGGCAGCUUGCUAAACUGAAACUGACACUGAGGCACGAAAGCGUGGGGAUCAAACAGGAUUAGAUACCCUGGUAGUCCACGCCUAACGAUANCUACUACGUAUUGUCGUAUAUACUAGUACGAGAGUACGAACGGAAACCGAACGUAAGUAGACGUAACCGUAGGUAGUUACGUUCGUACGAGAGUAGAACGUUAAAGGUUAAGUAGGACGGCGNGAGACGAGACGACGGACGACGACGAGGGAGGAGG
rnacentral:rRNA from 1 species